rnacentral:rRNA from 1 species
AUUGAACGCUGGCGGCAGGCCUAACACAUGCAAGUCGAACGAGUGGCGGACGGGUGAGUAAUGUCUGGGAAACUGCCCGAUGGAGGGGGAUAACUACUGGAAACGGUAGCUAAUACCGCAUACCAUCGGAUGUGCCCAGAUGGGAUUAGCUAGUAGGGGGGGUAAAGGCUCACCUAGGCGACGAUCCCUAGCUGGCAUGAGAGGAUGACCAGAAAUACUGAAACUGUGACACGGUCCAGACUCUUACGGGAGGCAGCAGUGGGGAAUAUUGCACAAUGGGCGCAAGCCUGAUGCAGCCAUGCCGGGUGUAUGAAGAAGGCCUUCGUGUUGUAAAGUACUUUCAGCGGGGAGGCGUUACCCGCAGAAGAAGCACCGGCUAACUCCGUGCCAGCAGCCGCGGUAAUAC